CUAGAAAAUUAAUUUAUCUUUAUAGCCCUGCUAAAAUUCCAUGGAUUAUUUUCCUAAUACCUUCAGGAAUAAUUACUGACAUUCCAUGGCAUUUGAAGUUUUAAUUAUUGAAUUUUCAUUUUGAGAUGUUUGAUGAAAACAAAAAUAGGUAACACAUAAGAAAUGAAGAAGAAUUAUAAUUGAAUUGUAAUUCCAUCAAACACCUGAUGAACUAGAUUAUGAAAAUUCUUUUGAAACUACCUGGAUGUACUUCCUCACUGCCACCAACUGCCUCCCAUCAAAUUUAAUCACUAUGUUGAAUUUAGUGUUUAUAUUUCUUUUGCUCUUUAAAAUAGUAUAACUAGGAAUGUAUGUGUCUUUAAAAAUAUAAUGCGUAUAUUUUUGAGUCUCAUUCAAAUCCUAUCGUAUUGUAUAUUGUCUACCGCAGUUUCUUUUGCUUACUCAAGACUAUAUUUCUAAGAUUCUUUGGAUAUUGCCUAUGGGCUGAGGGUAAUUCAUUUUCACAGUUGUAUUAUAUUUCAUUUUAAACUAUGUCACAUGUAUUUGUAUUUUUUUUUCUGUCUUUUUUUUUGAGAUGGAGUCUUGCUCUGUUGCACAGGCUGGAGUGCAAUGGCGCAAUGCAACCUCUACCUCCUGGGUUCAAAUGACUCUCCUGCCUCAACCUCCCGAGUAGCUGGGACUACAGGCACCCGCCCCCACACCCUGCUAACUUUUGUGUUUUUAGUAGAGACGAGGUUUCACCAGAUUGGGCAGGCUGGUCUCGAACUCCUGACCUUGUGAUCCACCCACCUUGGCCUCCCAAAGUGUUGGGAUUACAGGAGUGAGCCACCGCACUGGUCCUAUUUGUAUAUUUUCUUAAAGGUGGAAACUGGAGUACACAGACACUAGAACUAGCUGGCCGCUUCUGAGCUGGCAGGGGUGGACUCCACUCUCUGGGUCCCACUGUGUUCCACCUGUCUCAGGAGUAGGAGUGCAGGAUUUGAAUCAAGAGCCAUGAUUUCAUGUUAUAGAAAACUGUACAUUCUUCAAUUAAUGAAAAUGAAGAGCUUAUUGACUAAAUAUUAUUGAAGAAAUUCAUUAUCUGUGAGAACACGAAAAAUUUGCGACCUAUCCCAAAUUUCAAGCAAGCAGUGGAGGAGAACUAACUUGACAGCAUGUUGAAACAUGCAAUGGAGAAAAAGUGUAAGGUCAAUGGAGACUGCUAUUUUUUGGUGGAGCAAUUACAUUUACAGAGCAUUUUGCAAUGUACAAAACUUUACAUGAAAAUUUACAAUUUGUAUUCUUUUGAGUUUCUUAUAGUCACUAGAAAGGUAAAUAAGUCAGGGUUUGCCCAAUGUCCCAUCAACUCUAAAUAGUAAAGGGAAGAGGAGUUCAGAUGUCUGGCUCCUAGGCAAUCUCUCCAAUCUCUCUUCAUUUCAGUUAGCUGCUUCUUCUGACUACCUGUCUUAAUUUUCUCCAUGCUGUUAUUCUUUCACGAUAUGCUUACCACAUUUGAUCUAACACUUAGUAUGGUGUGUGGUACAUAACAGGAGCUCAAUGAAUACGUACGUGUUGAAUGAAUAACUGGAUGAAUGAAUAAAUAAAUGAGUAGAUAAGUGAGUGUGUUCAUUCGUGUUCAAGACACUGGAGUCUGAGUUGGUGGUUACAUUUAGCACCUUUAGCAGGGUUGCUCUAACAUACCUGAUACAUACUUUCUUUCAGAAGAUGGCAAUUUGGAUCAUUUUGCCUCUUUUAUUCUAUGAUUUGACAAGCAUUGAGUUUUUUGAGUACUAUUUUUUGCUUUGUUUGAGGAUGUUUAUUUCAUUUUGAGAAGCUAAUAUCUUGUAAGGAUGGUACACUGGGAAUUACAAAGUGAUCUGCAGUUUUAUUUUCCUUAUAUUUGAGUUUAAGAAAUCUCCUAAAUAGGAAAAUUGAAAAGAAACUCUUAUAGUUUUACAUGAUACAUGAACCAGACCCCUCUAUUUCAUAAGCUACUCUUAUACAUGCUAUCUUCAUAAUUAGUUUCUUUAUUAUCAGACAUUAAGAAAAGUUUGGAAGGCUCAAAAAUCUUCCCUGAUAUUUUUCAUUUUCUACAACAGUAGGCUCACAGUGAUCUAGGUGAUGACAUUUAUGAAUCCUGUAUGUAGUUUUCAACUUCCCUAAGAAAUAUUUACAUUUUUUCCAACUUAGUUUAUUCACUUGUCCUGCUCAAUGUGUUGGUAUAAAUAUGGAUUUAAUUCUCAUUAUAUUUUCACUUUGGGCUUGUCAUUCUGUGCUGAAUUGGAAUUUUCAAUCUUAAUGCCAUACAUGAAUAUUUACAUGGAUUGUUGGAUUGCAAAAAGGAGCUGGAAAAGAAACUAUCAUCAGAGCAAACCGACAACCUACAAUGGGAGAAAAUUUUUGCAACCUAUCCAAUUAACAAAGGUCUAAUAUCGAGAGUCUACAUCUAUGAGGAAGUUAAACAAGCUAUAGGAAAAACAACCCCAUUAAAAAGUGGACAAAGGACAUGAAUAGACACUUCUCAAAAGAAGACAUUUAUGUGGCCAACAAACAUGAUAAAAAGCUUAACAUCACUGAUCAUUAGGGAAAUGCAAAUGAAAACCACAAUGAGAUACUAUCUCACACCAGUCAGAAUGGCCAUUAUUAAAAAGCCAAAAAACAACAGAUGCUGGCAAGGCUGUGGAGAAAUAGAAACACUUUUACACUGUUAGUGGACAUGUAAAUUAGUUCAACCAUUGUGGAAGACAGUGUGGUGAUUCCUAAAAGACCUAGAACCAGAAAUACUUUUUGACCGAGUAAUCUCAUUACAGGGUAUAUAUCCAAAGGGCUAUAAAUCCCUCUAUUAUUAUUAUUAUUAUUUGAGAUGGAGUCUCACUCUGUCUCCAGGCCGGAGUGCAGUGGCGUGAUAUCAGCUCACUGCAACCUCCACCUCCCAGGAUUAAGCAAUUAUCUUGCCUCAGCUUCCUGAGUAGUUGGGACUACAGGCGCACACCACCACGCCCAGCUAAUUUUUUUUUUUUUUUGUAUUUUUGGUAGAGACGGGGUUUCAUCAUGUUGGCCAGGAUGGUCUUGAUCUCUUGACAUCAUGGUCUGCCCACCUCGACCUCCUAAAGUGCUGGGAUUACAGAUAAGAGCCACUGAACUUGGCCAUAAAUCAUUCUAUUAUAAAGAUACAUGCACACAUAUGUUCACUGCAGCACUCUUCACAAUAGCAAUGACAUGGAAUCAAUCCAAAUGCCCAUCAGUGAAAGACUGGAUAAAGAAAAUGUGGUACGUAUAUACCAUAGAAUAGUAUGCAGCCAUAAAAAGGAAUAAGGUCAUGACCUUUGCAGGAACAGAUCGAACUGGAAGUCAUUAUCCUCAGCAAACUAACACAGGAACAGAAAACCAAAUACUGCAUGUUCUCACAUCUAAGUGGGAGCUGAACAAUGAGAACACAUGGACACAGGGAAGGGAACAAAACACACUGAGGCCUGUCAGUAGUGGGGAGUAGAGAGGGAGAGGAUCAGGAAAAAUAGCUAAUUCACACUGGGCUUAAUACUUAGGUGAUGGGUUGAUAGAUGAAGCGAACCACCAUGGCACAUGUUUACCUAUGUAACAAAGCUGCACAUCCUGCACAUGUACCCUGGAACUUAAAAUAAAAUAAAAAUAAAAGAAUAAAGGAGCUGGGUUGUUGGAUUAAAAGAGUUGUUGGAUUCAAAAGAAGACAGGCAGGACUGUAUGCACAUGGUAAAUGCUGCUAGGGAAACAAUUCCUUAGUAAACAUUUUUAAUUGUGGUUGAACAUGAAUCAAGGUAGUUUUCACAAAGAAAUAGUACCACUAGAAUGAAUGUAUAGUAUUUUUUAAUAUAAAUGCAGAAUGAUACCGUGUGGACUAUGCACUUCAGCAAUAACUUUUAGUAAUUGCAAUCAUAUCAAUUCUGCAGUUAAAGGGAUUGCU
rnacentral:lncRNA from 1 species